rnacentral:rRNA from 1 species
ACGGGUGAGUAAUGUCUGGGAAACUGCCCGAUGGAGGGGGAUAACUACUGGAAACGGUAGCUAAUACCGCAUAACGUCGCAAGACCAAAGUGGGGGACCUUCGGGCCUCACACCAUCGGAUGUGCCCAGAUGGGAUUAGCUAGUAGGUGGGGUAAUGGCUCACCUAGGCGACGAUCCCUAGCUGGUCUGAGAGGAUGACCAGCCACACUGGAACUGAGACACGGUCCAGACUCCUACGGGAGGCAGCAGUGGGGAAUAUUGCACAAUGGGCGCAAGCCUGAUGCAGCCAUGCCGCGUGUAUGAAGAAAGCCUUCGGGUUGUAAAGUACUUUCAGCGGGGAGGAAGGCGGUGAAGUUAAUAGCUUCACCGAUUGACGUUACCCGCAGAAAAAGCACCGGCUAACUCCGUGCCACCAGCCGCGGUAAUACGGAGGGUGCAAGCGUUAAUCGGAAUUACUGGGCGUAAAGCGCACGCAGGCGGUCUGUCAAGUCUGAUGUGAAAUCCCCGGGCUUAACCUGGGAACUGCAUUCGAAACUGGCAGGCUAGAGUCUUGUAGAGGGGGGUAGAAUUCCACGUGUAUCG